GCAUAUCAAUAAGCGGAGGAAAAGAAACCAACAGGGAUUACCUCAGUAACGGCGAGUGAAGCGGUAACAGCUCAAAUUUGAAAUCUGGCCUCACGGUCCGAGUUGUAAUUUGUAGAGGAUGCUUCGAGCAUGGUCUGGCCUAAGUUCCUUGGAACAGGACGUCAUAGAGGGUGAGAAUCCCGUAUGCGGCCAGGUGCCUACGCUCAUGUGAAGCUCCUUCGACGAGUCGAGUUGUUUGGGAAUGCAGCUCAAAAUGGGUGGUAAAUUUCAUCUAAAGCUAAAUAUUGGCCAGAGACCGAUAGCGCACAAGUAGAGUGAUCGAAAGAUGAAAAGCACUUUGGAAAGAGAGUUAAACAGUACGUGAAAUUGUUGAAAGGGAAGCGCUUGCAACCAGACUUGCGCGCGGCCGAUCAUCCGGUGUUCUCACCGGUGCACUCGGCCGUGCUCAGGCCAGCAUCGGUUUUGGCGGCUGGAUAAAGGCCCUAGGAAUGUAGCUCCUCUCGGGGAGUGUUAUAGCCUAGGGUGCAAUGCAGCCUGCUGGGACCGAGGACCGCGCUUCGGCUAGGAUGCUGGCGUAAUGGUUGUAAGCGGC
rnacentral:rRNA from 1 species